rnacentral:rRNA from 1 species
GACGAACGCUGGCGGCGUGCCUAAUACAUGCAAGUCGAACGCAGUGGGGACGGGUGAGUAACACGUGGGUAACCUCCCAUCAGAGGGGAUAACACUUGGAAACAGGUGCUAAACCGAUACUGAUGGAUGGACCCGCGGUGCAUUAGCUAGUUGGUGAGGUAACGGCUCACCAAGGCCACGAUGCAUAGCCGACCUGGGAGGGGGAUCGGCCACACUGGGACUGAGAUACGGUCCAGACUCCUACGGGAGGCAGCAGUAGUGAAUCUUCGGCAAUGGACGAAAGGCUGACCGAGCAAAGCCGCGGGAGAGAAGAAGGUUGUCGGAUCGGAAAACUAUGUUGUUAGAGAAGCGGCACCUAACCAGAAAGCCACGGCUAACUACGUGCCAGCAGCCGCGGUAAUAC